rnacentral:piRNA from 1 species
UCUGAUUCUGAGAUGAAAUGUGAAUGGGUA